rnacentral:rRNA from 1 species
CUCAGGGAGGUAGUGACAAGAAAUAACAACACUGGAAAUUUUAUUUCUAGUGAUUGGAAUGAUGGGAAUUUAAACCCCUUUCAGAGUAACAAUUGGAGGGCAAGUCUGGUGCCAGCAGCCGCGGUAAUUCCAGCUCCAAUAGCGUAUAUUAAAGUUGUUGCAGUUAAAAAGCUCGUAGUUGGAUGUCUGCUGGAAGCAAUCAGUCCGCCCUAUUUGUAGGGUGUGCACUUGAUGAAUUCUGGCAUCUAUGUCCCGAUAAGAGAACGGGCGUGUCACAUUAGCUGUUGGGCGAAAGCUCAAGAGCGUGUGUGCGUCCGUUUAUUGGGAUAAUACUGUUACUUUGAGAAAAUUAGAGUGUUUGAAGCAGGCUAAUUGCCUUGAAUACUGCAGCAUGGAAUAACAAUAUAGGAUUUCGGUUCUAUUUUGUUGGUUUCUAGGACUGAAAUAAUGAUUAAUAGGGACAGUUGGGGGCAUUCGUAUUUAACUGUCAGAGGUGAAAUUCUUAGAUUUGUUAAAGACGAACUACUGCGAAAGCAUUUGCCAAAGAUGUUUUCAUUAAUCAAGAACGAAAGUUAGGGGCUCGAAGACGAUCAGAUACCGUCGUAGUCUUAACCAUAAACUAUGCCGACUAGAGAUAGGAAAAUGUCAUUUUGCUGACUU